GAGAAAUCAAAAUUCUCUGUUUCUCACUUCUUCUUCUAAACCCUACAAAUCAAUCUCUUUAGUUCUUCCCUCUUCGAUUCUCUGAUUCAUCGUCGGUGAAAAAGCUUCUACCUUUAUAGCUUUCCUCUCAUUGAUGAUCGAGAUAUGCAACACGGCGAUCAAAGGGUGCUGCGGCUUGAGACAUGGUGGCGAUCUAACCUCUGCUUUUUGUUCCUCUUCUUCUGCUUCGUCUUGGGAUCUAACCUCUGCUUUUGGUUCCUCUUCUUCUGCUUCGUCUUUGGGAUCUAACCUCUGCUUUGUCCUCA
rnacentral:lncRNA from 1 species